UUUAAAGGAAUAGUUUGACAUUCAAUGGGAAAUAUGCUUAUUUGUUUUCUUGCCAAGAGUUACAUGAAAAGAUUAACACCACUCCCAUGCCUGUGCGGUAAAUAUAAGGCUAUAGCUACCAGCCAGCUGGCUUAGCUUAGCACAAUGACAUAAAAUAGGAAAUAGGGGGAAACGGCUAGCCUGGCUCUGUCCAAAAGUAACAAAAUCCACCUACCAGCACCUCAGUUCAGUAAUUAGACUUUAUUAGACUUUAUAUCUCAUGUGCUUAUUCCUGCCCCCAUUCAGGACUGUCUCAUCUACUGCGUGGGAGUAAUGGAGGUGGGGAGGUCAACCAGACGUACAUGCCAAACCAACCAGCUGAGAUGAGAUCUUCGACUGGCUUGAGGAACUACUUUGGCACAUGUGGCAGCCUCCUAUGCAUCUACUUCAUUUCAAGACAGUAGUUUGUUCCCUACAGCUCAGUCUUUGUUUCUCUAUCUCCGGCUCCGGCCUUCUAUGUUAGCUGCUUGAAUCCCCUGUGACACUCAACCCACUAUGCAUCUUUUGACAUGUUUGUUUAAUAAAUUACAAAAAAUACCAAAGAGACAUGUAGCACUCACUUAUGAUGAAUUAUGAAAUUGUCCACAAAUACCUCUGGCUAUUGUACAGACACUGAAUAGAGAUCUUGCUCAUUUAUCUGCAUCAAUAAAUUGGCAAAGGAAUUGGAAAAAUAUCACACUGUCUCCAACAAGGACAUCAUUUCCACUGGGGAUGGGGGGGAUCCUCAUCAGUUAUUACCGUGUGCUCACAUCAUUUAAGCUUCACAAGUAGAAGUGAAUGAUUUAAAGUGAGGUUUUAUGAGGUAAAAAAAAAACACAAGUGAAUGCUUUGGGGGUGUUAUGAUUCUUACCAAUUCAAUUACUGUAUAUAGUCGAUUCCCUAUUUUUAAAUUUACCGCUGCAGUUCAACUCACUACCAUUCUUAACCACAUGGUAAAACAACCGGUAAAUGAUCAGUUAUAUAUAUUUGCACCACAUGCACACACA